rnacentral:pre_miRNA from 1 species
CCCAUUCCACAGCAUCACCAGACGUUCGCUCUUAUGAUGCUGUUGAUGGGAU